rnacentral:lncRNA from 1 species
UGAGCUUCAUCUUCAUUGAGUUUGCUUGUAAUUCAACAAGCAUGAAUGCAACUUAUCAUCGAAGCGGAUCUCUUUAUGUACACUGAUUUAUAUACUACACACACACACUCUCACUCUCACUCACUCACACACACGCUCUCACUCACUCACACACACACACACUCAUACUCGUGUUGUGUAUGGAUUGAUGUGUGCAUAUAUACGAUAUGUAUAUACUGAUAUGUUUAUGCAUGUAUGUAUACUGUUGCUUGCAGUUUUUGUAUAAACUGAUAUAUGUUCACUGAUAUUUAUAUAUGCACACUCAUAUGUACAUGUAUAAAGGGUUUAUAUAUACACUAAUGUAUAAGACCAUGUAUUAUUCUUAGUGAUAUACACAAUUAGUAGAGCAAUUUGUGUUCGUAUUGAUGUAUAGCAAUAUAUAUCAUUGUUUUCAGUGUAUAUACAACUAUUAGUGUGUAAAGAAUACAUUGAUAUGUGUGUGUGUGCGUGAUGUUUGUAUAUAUUCGAUGUGUGUAUACUGAUAUGUGUGUAUGUGUAAAGUGCAUAACUGUAUCUAUACAAUGCGCUAAUAUAUAUAUUUCUAUAUAUAUUGAUGUAUUAGUUCAUACAGUUAUUAACGUAUAUCGACAUUAAUUUAUAUACUACACACACACUCACUCACACUUACACUCACACUCACCACUCACACUCAUACACACACAGACACAUACACACUCACACUCACACUCACACUCACACACUCACACUCACACUUACACAUACUCACACUCACACUCACACUCAUACACACUCACACUCACAGAUAUAUAUACUACAGACAUACACACACUCACACUCACACACAGUCACAGAUAUAUAUACUAUACAUGUUUGUGUUGUGUAUGGACUGAUAUGUGAAUAUAUACGAUGUGUUUAUACUGAUAUGUUUAUGCGAGUAUAUAUACAGUUGCUUGCCAUCAAUUAUAUACAAUUAGCAAUGUAUAUAUACACAUAUAUGCACACACACAUGCACCGUUAUGUGUUAAUAAGUGCAUAUAUAUUGUGUAUGUGUAUGCUAUUACAUGCAUUCUAUAUACAUUAAUAUAUAUGAUCAUAGAGACACUUAUAUAUAUAUAUAUAUAUAUAUAUAGUGUGUCUAUAUAAGAUAUGUAUAUACUGAUAUGUUUAUGUAUGUAUACACUUGCUAUUUAUAAACACUGAUAUGCGCACACACAUGUACACUUACGCAUUGAUAAUGCGUACAU